UGGGGAAUAUUGGACAAUGGGCGAAAGCCUGAUCCAGCCAUGCCGCGUGUGUGAAGAAGGUCUUCGGAUUGUAAAGCACUUUAAGUUGGGAGGAAGGGCAUUAACCUAAUACGUUAGUGUUUUGACGUUACCGACAGAAUAAGCACCGGCUAACUCUGUGCCAGCAGCCGCGGUAAUACAGAGGGUGCAAGCGUUAAUCGGAAUUACUGGGCGUAAAGCGCGCGUAGGUGGUUUGUUAAGUUGGAUGUGAAAUCCCCGGGCUCAACCUGGGAACUGCAUUCAAAACUGACUGACGAGAGUAUGGUAGAGGGUGGUGGAAUUUCCUGUGUAGCGGUGAAAUGCGUAGAUAUAGGAAGGAACACCAGUGGCGAAGGCGACCACCUGGACUAAUACUGACACUGAGGUGCGAAAGCGUGGGGAGCAAACA
rnacentral:rRNA from 1 species